UACGAAGGGGUGCAAGCGUUACUCGGAAUUACUGGGCGUAAAGCGUGACGUAGGUGGUGAGUUAAGUCUGUCGUGAAAGCCCCGGGCUCAACCUGGGAAUGGCGAUGGAUACUGGCUCGCUAGAGUGCGGUAGAGGAGAGUGGAAUUCCCGGUGUAGCAGUGAAAUGCGUAGAGAUCGGGAGGAACAUCAGUUGCGAAGGCGGGCUCUC
rnacentral:rRNA from 1 species